GAAAGCCCAUCGCCUGAGAGGAGAAGGUAACAUUCCGGUGAGAAAUAUCCCUUCUCUGUACCCCUAAACAUACCAAGCACUGCCAAGAGGAACAUAUAUACAAAGCCCUUCGACUCAGACCAUCUCAUGGGUCUCACAACACUUCUCCRCAUCUCUGAGCUGUGAAAUGAAACAAUCACAAGAGGGUUGUUCGUUCUUCCUGAAACAAGCUUCACAAACUGUGGAAAAUGAAAGCUAAGGCUGAACUUCUAAAACAAGCUGAAAGCGCAGAAAUGCAGAGUGAAGCCAUUCAAAAGCAUCAAAUUUGGAAAAGAGCCCUGAAAAACCCUGCAGUCAUGACUAAUGCAGUUUUAAUGUGUGCGCUUCUAGUGGUGUCUCCUCAUCUGCAUCCAUUGCUUGUACUCAGUCAUCCCAGACUCUUCUCUCUUCCAGUGAGAUCUCCCUGUUCUGGGUGAAACUAUUUUAAUCAGUAGGUGCAAUGAUUUCAGUAUUUCCUAUUCCAGCUCUUGGACUAAUGCUUAGGUCUUCUGCCUCUGCAACACAGGGGGYAGAGACUUUUAUGGAGCUCUCCCAAAUGAACUUAUGCCUUGCAGAUCUUAAAG
rnacentral:lncRNA from 1 species